GCCUUCGUGGUGUAACGGUAGCAUCCUCGGCUUACAUUCGAGUAGCCCAGUUUCGAGCCCUGGCGAGGGCA